rnacentral:lncRNA from 1 species
UCUUCUUAAGGAUAAUCUGUCCGAAGUUGCCUCAUAGUAUAGAGCUUGCUUCCUUUCCCUCAAAGAAGAUGUUUCGAACUAAGUUUGAUUUACAAGUGCUGUGAAUUUAUACAUGUAAUCUGUGCAGGCUGAGUUGGCCUAGAAGGUGCUGUUGCUGCUGAAGUUUGUGAUUUCUUGUAAGUCUUCUCUGAUUGUGCUGCUUGUGUGUCCCUUGGUGAAAUAUGAAUCUACUUUUGACGUGUUCAUGUCUCUUGUUACCACAAUUUGUUUUAAUUUUGAAAUAUAACUUCAAUAGAAUGCUUUUUAUCUUGUCAGUUUACAGUACUUUGACCGUUUAAAGCACAUCAUAACGUAACCCAAUGCCAGUCCUCUUUAUUACAAUUAAGUAGUAUCUUCAUAUAAGUAGCAAUAUUUCCUUGAAUCCCACACAUGUAAUUUUUGUUUAAAAAAAAUUAUCAUGGAAAAGAAAAGCCUUGACGUUUCAAUAGUCAGCAGCUCAUAUACCACUGCACUAAAGGCUCAGUCUGUAAUAUAUGGGCCACUGUACAAUUUAGUUUUCCACCCGGACAAUCUCUUUGCUAAUGCAGCUGUAGUCUGCUGCAGCAAUCCAACGUGAAACUCUUUAGAAGUAGUUUAAUAAAUUAGAUGUGACGGAGGGAAUAAUAAUUAAAUGUACCCUAGGUUUGUGGUUCCUUGUGUUGGUGUAUCAUCAUGAUUUUCUUCUUGUGGCUGACUAAGCUGGAGAUGUACAGGUUCACGUGAAUCCUCAUGGAUGCUCAGACCAUUG